UUAGGAUAAAAUAGUGCAUUUUUGGUCCUUAACAACAACUUUCUUUAAUACGUCUAUGACGCCAUGUUUGGUAUCAUUCUCUACGUCUGUAAAGCACCUAUCUUGUUGACCUACUUUUAUAUUUAUUUUUGUACCACACUGAACCAGAAAAUAAAUUUGAAAUACGUCACUGAUUUGUAAAGUCUCUAAUUUCAUUGGUCACAAUAAAAUAGGUUAGCUAUUUUUAGUAAAUGACACAAUUAUCGGGUCUACCAAGGACCACAAUGCACCCCAACGUGUUUACUUUUGUCCGCCAUCUUGAAUUAUCUGACUGCUCAGUUCAUGCAUAUUUUCAAGCUGUUUUUAUAUUUUUCUUAUCAAUUGAGUUAGAGUUCAUCUUCUUUACCAAUCAAGAGAACUAUUCUAAGAAAAUGGUACUCAGAAGGCAAGCUACAGUACAGUUCGUUCUACAAUAUUCAGGCAAAGGGAAGAUCGAUGGCUGCCUGGUCGUGUCAGAUGCAAACUGAAAUGUUGCUGGGUGGUUUCGAUGGGUGUCAGGUUCAAACCCUGCCCACUAACCUCCACCUUCAUCCUGUCAUGCUAGGAUGUAAUAUAUAUUCUUCAAAGCGGAAGAAACAUCCAAAUCAUGUGCACACAAGAUCUGCUAAACUAUCAAAGAAAGUUUGGCUUCAAGAAGUAGCAAAAAACAGAUGUCAGAAAACAAAAAACAAACUGGAUAUAUGGUCGCUACUGAGAAUUCCAGGUCUCUGUCUACUGGAAAACUAGUCCACAAAUUUUUUGAAGCUGGUUCACAAGAGCAAGCUAAAGUACUAUCAUCUUCAUGUGUACUUAUUAGCAUAACCACAGAGAUGGCCUUUUGUGGUGUCAAGCAAGGCAGCGCCCCCCCCCCCCCAGGCCUCAUGCCUUUGUGGGUGGAGGGAGACGUGAUAAAGAAAAUCUUUUGUCACUGCCAGCUCUGCGUACAAAUAUGUGGCACUGAUAUGACACUCACUCAUAGCCCUCACACUGCUAAGGCUGCUUCUCCUAACCAACCCGUUUUCCUUGAUUGACCUGAUUGGAUUGAAAUUUGGUAUUUUUUAAAAUAGCAUUGAGCCUAUAAACAAAAGGGCUCAUUCGGUAUAUGUAUGUACUUAAUUAAAGAUGUGAUACCUUAUGCCACCACUUUAACUUCAAAGACACUUCCAGAUUUCAAACAUUAUGAAAAAAACACUUGGUGGCAUCUUUUUUGAACAUUGAUUUGUGAUUAAUAUUCCAUAAAAAUGGUUUGAAUUUUUUUAUUGGGGGGGGGGGGGGGUUAAAUUGUAAACCAUUUAUCUCCAAAUUUAUAUUUUCAUUUUUUAAAACUUGUAACAUCUGAGCAAAUGGCAUUUCUUUUAAAAUAAUAUACUUUUAUAUGACCUAAGCUGUUGAAAUAAAUAUUUAUUUUGCUUUUAA